rnacentral:rRNA from 1 species
GAUGAACGCUAGCGGCAGGCUUAAUACAUGCAAGUCAAGGGGGUAGCAAUACAACCGGCGCACGGGUGAGUAACGCGUACACAACAUACCAUAUACUGGAGUAUAGCUUUGGGAAACUGAAGGUAAUCCUCCAUAACAUUGCGAGAGGGCAUCUGAUUGCAAUUAAAGUUUCGGCGGUAUAUGAUUGGUGUGCGUUUGAUUAGCUAGUUGGUAGGGUAACGGCCUACCAAGGCGACGAUCAAUAGCUGGCGUGAGAGCGCGACCAGCCACACUGGAACUGAGACACGGUCCAGACUCCUACGGGAGGCAGCAGUAGGGAAU